UGCAUAGCCUGAAUCUGCCUG
rnacentral:piRNA from 1 species